AGCAGCCGCGGUAAUUCCAGCUCCAAUAGUGUAUAUUAAAGUUGUUGCAGUUAAAAAGCUCGUAGUUGAAUUUCGAGAUCAAAUUGUUGGUCGUGCCUCGGUACGCACUGGCAUUAUUGAUUUCUCCCUUCUGAAGAACCUUGAUGUCAUUAAUUUGGUGUCUUGGGGAAUCAGGACCGUUACUUUGAAAAAAUUAGAGUGUUUAAAGCAGGCUCACGCUUGAAUACAUUAGCAUGGAAUAAUGAAAUAGGACGUUUGAUUCUAUUUUGUUGGUUUCUAGGAUCGACGUAAUGAUUAAUAGGGAUAGUUGGGGGCAUUAGUAUUCAAUUGUCAGAGGUGAAAUUCUUGGAUUUAUUGAAGACUAACUACUGCGAAAGCAUUUGCCAAGGAUGUUUUCAUUAAUCAAGAACGAAAGUUAGGGGAUCGAAGACGAUCAGAUACCGUCGUAGUCUUAACCAUAAACUAUGCCGACUAGGAGACGUACGUAGUAGAGUUAAGUUUUUAAUUUUUAAGUACGUAC
rnacentral:rRNA from 1 species